rfam:Picea glauca, whole genome shotgun sequence.
GCAUGCAAUCAUAACAAUGUUAAUGCAUCGGAUCCCAUCAGAACUCUGCAGUUAAGUGCGCCUUGGCUAGAGUAGUACUAUUAUGGGUGACCUCCCAGGAAGUCCUAGUGUUUCACCCU